rnacentral:rRNA from 1 species
CGCAUCUGUGCAUGCAGCAUAUCAAUAAGCGGAGGAAAAGAAACUAACAAGGAUUCCCCUAGUAACGGCGAGUGAAGCGGGAAGAGCUCAAAUUUGAAAUCUUAAAGGGUUUCCCUUUACGAAUUGUAGUUUAAAGAAGUGUUUUCUGUUGAGGUUUUGGUAAAAGUUCUUUGGAAUAGGACAUCAUAGAGGGUGAGAAUCCCGUAUUUGACCUUUACUUUCAACUUUGUGAUACACUUUCAAAGAGUCGGAUUGUUUGGGAAUGCAGUCCAAAAUGGGUGGUAAAUUUCAUCUAAAGCUAAAUAUUGGCGAGAGACCGAUAGCGAACAAGUACCGUGAGGGAAAGAUGAAAAGAACUUUGAAAAGAGAGUUAAACAGUACGUGAAAUUGUCAAAAGGGAAGCGUUUGACACCAGUGUUGUUUUUCUGAAAAUCAAUUAAAGAACUGUUUAUGCUAAGUUGUUUAGACUUUAUCAGCUAACUGUUUAGUUUUGAGCUUUUCUUUAAUGCACUUUUCAGUUAACAAGUCAACAUCAAUUUCUUUUGCUGUAAAAAAGCUUGAGGAAGGUGGCUUGAGAUUCGUCUUAAGUGUUUGAUAGCCUCUUGCCUAUGCAGUCGGAGAGAUUGAGGUCUGCAGCGUAGAUCCUUCGGGGCUAAAUGCAUUUGUGCUAAGUUAUAGCAUUUUAUAGACAACUUGUUGACUAUGAUUUGUCUUGUAGCUUACUCGCUUAUGUUAUUUUACCUACGCUUAGGAUGUUGAACUCUAUCACACACAG